rnacentral:rRNA from 1 species
AGAGUUUGAUCAUGGCUCAGGAUGAACGCUGGCGGCGUGCUUAACACAUGCAAGUUGCGCGGUGAUCUCAAGAAGUUUUCGGACGGAAAGGGAGAGCAGCAGCGGACGGGUGAGUAAAGCACAAGGACUUGUCCCGAAGAGGGGGACAACUGUGGGAAACCACAGCUAAUACCCCAUAAGCCGAGGGGUGAAAGCAGUAAUGCGCUUUAGGAGAGACUUGUGUCCUAUCAGGUAGUUGGUGAGGUAACGGCUCACCAAGCCGAAGACGGGUAGCCGGACUGAGAGGUUGUACGACCACAUUGGAACUGAGAGACGGUCCAGACUCCUACGGGAGGCAGCAGUGGGGAAUAUUGGGCAAUGGGGGCAACCCUGACCCAGCGACGCCGCGUGAGGGAAGACAGCCUUCGGGUUGUAAACCUCUGUUGCAGGGGAAGAAGAAAGUGACGGUACCCUGCGAGGAAGCUCCGGCAAACUACGUGCCAGCCGCCGC